rnacentral:lncRNA from 1 species
CUCCCGUCAGCUGUCUAGCGAUGAUUUCAGCAUAUUGACACCUAAUUUGUAUGUUCCAGCAUCAUAAUCUGUUGAGCAUAUUCAUGAGUAGCAUAUAUGUUUACUUGAUUAUUUCAUAUAUGCUUCAGAUGAGUUGAUAUUGAUUGUGGUGAUAUUGAUGAUUUACUCCAUAUUCUCUAUGUUGAGAUCAUGUUUAUCUUGUUAUUGAUCUUGAGAUUUCACCUCGAGCCAUGAUUAUAUCUGGUCUCAUGUGCAUAGUACUCUCUACUCCACUCACUGAGUAUUCAUAUACUCACUCCCCAGUUUGGUGUUUUUGAUUGCAGGGCAGGUAUUGUAUAGAGAAGAACAGAGUUAGAGAUUGCCUGCUAGCUGUGCCGCUCCAUAGUAUAGUAUAGUAUAAUGUAGAUAAAGAUUUAUACAUUUUGGUGUAUUAUAAACCUUCUAUUGUAUAUAGUGCAUAGUUACAGUCAUAGAUCCUGUUGUGGAUAUGGGUUUGACCAUGGAUGGAUUAGGAAGCA